ensembl:lncRNA
CAUGAGACUCUUAAUCUCAGGGUCGUGGGUUCGAGCCCCACGUUGGGCGCUGUUUUUUCUUAAAAACCUUUGAAACGAAAGAAAUCAUAUUUUUAGCACUUACUGUACUUUUGUUUUAAUUACGCUACAUUAGCUAUCGCUUCAUACUCCAUACAUUCAUCGUGGAAAAGGAACGCUAGUGGACGUGGCGUUUGGCCAGAGCGAUGUGGAUAGAGCAAGUCAGAUGUUUGAGGACAGAGUUUUGUUCUUUCUGGAUCCCAUUUGAAUGAUGAUCAACUCUUACAAUUCCAGCUAUUGAGUCCUGCAAGAUACUCUUCUUAAUUAGGUGGUGCUGCAGCACCCUCAGCACCCCUACUUCCUGUGGCUAUGCCUGGAAUAGCUCAAGAAGGAGGCUAGACUGUUCUGUAGUAGCCAGCGAAGAGUCCAGAUCUGAGUCACAUCCCUAACCUAUGGCGAGAACUGAAAACAGCAGUUGGUGGAGGGCAGCCCUAAAACAUUGAAGAAUUAGAGCAGUUUGCUGCUGAAAACUGGGCCAAAUUGCCUGUAGAAAGGAGCAGCAAGCUCAUUGAUGUCUACAAGAUGUAUUUGUCAGGAGUUAUCUUGGUCAACGGCUGUGCAACCAAGUACUAGGUCCUGGGUGCCAAUACUUUUGCCAAUGCCAUUUGUCUUUAUUUUCUAAAUUAAAAUUGUAAACUUAAGUUUACAAAAUA